rnacentral:rRNA from 1 species
UUUCCCUCAGGAUAGCUGGCACUCGCUUGAGCGAGUCUCAUCUGGUAAAGCGAAUGAUUAGAGGCCUUGGGGCCGAAACGACCUCAACCUAUUCUCAAACUUUAAAUGGGUGAGAUCUCUGGCUUGCUUGAACGUUGAAGCCACGAGAUUUUUAAAGGAUCAGAGUGCCAAGUGGGCCAAUUUUGGUAAGCAGAACUGGCGCUGUGGGA